GCAAAAGAUCCUCAAUAAUUUUAUAAUUAAUGCAACGUUUCACCAAUCCUCAAACAUCAAGAUCCAAAUUAUGCGAUUCUGUAAUAAAUUAAAAAUAUACAAUCCAUAAAUAUAAUGGCUGAAAUUACACUUCAAGCCAUGACCUUGGUCUAUAUAAACCAAUAUUUUAAAAAUCAUUUGCGGCAUAUUGGUGAAGGAAAUCAACGAGGUAGACAAGGAUAUAGUUGAUCAAUGAUCGAUAUAUUAAUAUCCAAAGUUAAUCGACGAAGAAGAAUUGUUGUGCUAUCAUAAUAAUAUAUGUUAAUUUAUUGUAAAUCCAAACUUAUGUAAUAUCAUAUUAUCAGAAUUUUAGCGCAGAUUCUGUUUAAUUUA